rnacentral:rRNA from 1 species
GGCGGUAGGCUUAACACAUGCAAGUCGUGCGAGAAAGUAUCUUCGGAUAUGAGUAGAGCGGCGGACGGGUGAGUAACGCGUAGGAAUCUACCUAGUAGAAGGGGAUAGCCCGGGGAAACCCGGAUUAAUACCGUAUACCUCCUUCGGGAGAAAGAAGGCCUCUCUUUGAAGCUUUCGCUACUAGAUGAGCCUGCGUAAGAUUAGCUUGUUGGUGAGGUAAAGGCUCACCAAGGCGACGAUCUUUAGCUGGUCUGAGAGGACGAUCAGCCACAUUGGGACUGAGACACGGCCCAGACUCCUACGGGAGGCAGCAGUGGGGAAUAUUGGACAAUGGGCGCAAGCCUGAUCCAGCCAUACCGCGUGUGUGAAGAAGGCCUUCGGGUUGUAAAGCACUUUAAGCAGGGAGAAAAAGUUAUAAGUUAAUACCUUAUAACCCUGAUGUUACCUGCAGAAUAAGCACCGGCUAAUUCCGUGCCAGCAGCCGCGGUAAUACGGAAGGUGCAAGCGUUAAUCGGAAUUACUGGGCGUAAAGCGCGCGUAGGUGGUUUGUUAAGUUGGAUGUGAAAGCCCUGGGCUCAACCUAGGAACUGCAUCCAAAACUAACUCACUAGAGUACGAUAGAGGGAGGUAGAAUUCAUAGUGUAGCGGUGGAAUGCGUAGAUAUUAUGAAGAAUACCAGUGGCGAAGGCGGCCUCCUGGAUCUGUACUGACACUGAGGUGCGAAAGCGUGGGUAGCGAACAGGAUUAGAUACCCUGGUAGUCCACGCCGUAAACGAUGACAACUAGCUGUUGGGAGACUAUGUC